rnacentral:misc_RNA from 1 species
GAACUAUUAGGCAUUCCAAGAAUUUUAGUAAUCUUUCCUUCGUUACAUAUAUGGUUCCUAAAACAAAAAGAUUCACCAAAGGCAACCCAUACGAAUUAUCCAAAUUCAUCACUUACCAAUUACAUGAUGGUCUAAAAAUGUGGGCUAUUAUAAAUGCUUCACCCCCAUAGUAUGUCAUCAAUUUGAUACAAAUUAAGCUUCAGUUGAUCUGAAGGUAAAAGAUUUAAUGUGAAAACAGGUAACAUAUCACUGAAGACUGCAUCUUUAACUUCACCCUCCAAAUUAAGCUGUCCUCAACGGCGGAGAAACCAAUAUGACACCAUCUCCUCUGACAAAGAGAAAUGGAACUGUGCGCCUUGUAGUGCGAACAAUCUCUUCAUAAGUUUCGUCAUCAAUUUCUAGU